AAUGCUACUUGGGUUAUAAUUAUAUACAUAUAUGCAUACGUAUUGGUGGAUAGCAAAAGUAUUUGGUUUCGUGGGUGGCGUACAGGUGCCUUACAGUUCUACGGUGCGGAUUGCUAUUCCUUGGACUAAAAAAAUUUCUUUCGAGAUGAGUCAGAUUAUUGUAACGAUCAUGCAUGGGAGGAUUUUCUGCAGAGAUUCAAAAUGCUCUCUGGAUUCCUCGUGAAACGUCUGGACAACACCUACAUGUACUUCCUCCGUCGUUCAGAGAAUGGUUGAUGAAUUCGCCAUCCGUUCUGCACACACAUACAAAAAUAGUUAAUGUAUAUAUAUAUUAUUUAUUUUUAUUUUUUUUUUUUUUAUAAGUUUCGUUCGGACCUGUUCCUUUGUACGAAGACUGUAUCCCUGUAUAUAAUAUAAUAUAUAUAAUAUGUUAUGAUUAUGUUAGUUGUUAUUUAUUAUAUAUAUAUUUUCCUUAUCUCUCUCUUUUUUUGUUUGUUUUUUUUUUAUUAGUACCUAACAUUGCUAUUAUGAUGCUGUAUUACAUUGCAUUGGCUAUUAUUUGUAUGUGCGACGAAUUUUUCAACAUGGCCGCUCGCGUGUCUCUUUGGUAUGGCGUUGGUUUAAUGUCAACAGUAACGUGUUGUUGAAAUAGCUAAUUAAUUGUUAAUCAUUAUAAUUUUAUUUAGUAGUGUUUUUGUAAUAUUGUUUUGUAUUUCAUGAUAUUGUCUGUGUCAAUACCGUGUGCUACUUUAAUGUGAUAGCAUGGAUUGUAUUGUUACCGAAUUUCAAUAGUCAUUGUUUUGAUUAUACGUGACUUGCAUUUAUAUUCUGCUCUUUCGAUGCUGCGUCACUUACCUGGAUCGUUCCCACAACAUCAUCCGAUUCUUUGAUAUGCCUUGGAUACUUACUACGGCUGCCUUCAAUCGUCUUAUAUCUGUGGUCAUAAAGCUGGCUGUUGUACAUGGUGUUCCGUAAACAGGGAGCCAUAACCUAUUUUGCACGUAAACCUUCUCGUAUGAUGAUUACUUGUUCACAAGGUAACUUUCACUUUCACUCUUUUAAUUAUUUAUUGAAUCAACACGUUUUAUAUUCAAACAAUGAUUGGAGUACACAUGAUAAUUUUCUUUUUUUUCUUUUUAGGUGUUCGCUAUCUGUAUUAUUCGACGAACAGUGUCACACCUCCUUUUGAUUUAUCCACAAUAUAGUUAUAACAUUUAGUAA